UCCCUGUGGAACGCUUUAACACCUUGUAGAGUCAACAUGGGCCAGCAUCCCUGUGGAACGCUUUCAACUCCUUGUAGAGUCAACAUGGACCAGCAUCACCGUGGAACGCUUUCAACUCCUUGUAGAGUCAACAUGGGCCAGCAUCCCUGUGGAACGCUUUCAACUCCUUGUAGAGUUCAUGCCCUGAGAAUUUAGGCUGUUCUGAGGGCAAAAGGAGGUGCAACUCAAUAUUAGUAAGGUGUUCUUAAUGUUUUGUAUACUCAGUGUGUACUAUAAUGCAUUGUGCCUCUCAAGGGGGUGGAAACUGAGGCUAGACUGGGCCUGACUGAAGGCUGGCUGGCCUGAUGCAUUAUGACCUGAAGCUCACAGGCAUUUACAAUGCCCUCCACCAAUCCCCUGGCCUGUUACUGUUAGGUUGAAUGCCCUCCACCAAUCCCCUGGCCUGUUACUGUUAGGUUGAAUGCCCUCCACCAAUCCCCUGGACUGUUACUGUUAGGUUGAAUGCCCUCCACCAAUCCCCUGGCCUGUUACUGUUAGGUUGAAUGCCCUCCACCAAUCCCCUGGCCUGUUACUGUUAGGUUGAAUGCCCUCCACCAAUCCCCUGGACUGUUACUGUUAGGUUGAAUGCCCUCCACCAAUCCCCUGAACUGUUACUGUUAGGUUGAAUGACUAACGAUGAACCCUACCUACAGUGAUUUGCUCUGACAGCAUUUUCUAUGUUAAUUUGACUAAUGAGUAACAUUUAAGUAUUUUUUUAGAGAUACUCAUGUCAACAAAUGAAUUUAGUUUAUUUUACAGGGAGAGGUGUAUGAACAGGGGAUGGACACUAUGAGGAAAUGGGAGGGGAGAGGAGGGGAGAGAUGAUGUCAAAUAGUUUUAUAUCCUGAAUGAUGAACCAUGUCUCUGACAUGUUGUAUUUUAUUGGAGCUGUGGAUGUGGCUAGCUCUGGUCCAGGGGGUUAGUGCAUUCCUCGCUGACGCCCUGGACCAGAGCUAGUUGUGGUUAACUGUGGUAGAGAGAAAUAUAAUUUUAAAAUGCUGUAAUUUCAAGUAAAUAAGAAAAGAAACCCAAGACCUUACUUUAAAGACAAGAUCAAAGCUGCUCUCCCUAAUGAGGAGUUGUACAUAUAAAUGUAUUUGAACAAAGUAUUAUUUGCAAUAUUAUAAUGUACAGAAUUGUAUUUAUAAUGUAUCUCAACAAACUGUUUUAAUUGGUACAAAGAUGUUCUAGAAUACAGAACGUUUAC
ensembl:lncRNA